rnacentral:rRNA from 1 species
UAUACAUGAGCAAAAUCUCAACUUUAUUAGAAGAGACGCAUUUAUUAGAUAAAAAGCCAGUUCAUGCUUUUACAGUAUGAAAAUUGGUGAUUUAUAAUAACUUAGCAAAUCGCAAAGUGAAAACAGGCGAUAAAUCAUUCAAGUUUCUGACCUAUCAGCUUUCGACGGUAUGGUAUUGGCUUACCGUGGCAGUGACGGUUAACGGGGGAUUAGGGUUCGAUUCCGGAGAGGGAGCCUGAGAAACGGCUACCACAUCUAAGGAAGGCAGCAGGCGCGCAAAUUACCCAAUUCUAACAGUUUGAGAGAGGUAGUAACAAGAAAUAACAAUACAAGGCAGUUAAAAUGCUUUGUAAUUGGAAUGAUAGAAAUUUAAACCCUUUUUAAAGUAUCAAUUGGAGGGCAAGUCUGGUGCCAGCAGCCGCGGUAAUUCCAGCUCCAAUAGCGUAUAUUAAAAUUGUUGCAGUUAAAAAGCUCGUAGUUGAAGUUCUGCUGAAAGUAACCGGUCUGCUUUUAAUAAAAGUGGUAUCUUGGUAUGUAUUUAGCAAUGAUGUCCUUUGAAGUGUUUUUUACUUUAUUGUAAUAAAGCAUAUUCAGGACUUUUACUUUGAGAAAAUUAGAGUGUUUCUAGCAGGCUAACGCUUUGAAUACUGCAGCAUGGAAUA